CCAUCAUACCAUAGACCAAGCAAACCCCACUUGGUCCAUGGCAAAGCAUGGACCAAGCUUUACCUCGUUACUUUUUUUUUCUCUCCCACCAAGGCAGCCAUGGUCAUUGUUACGGACCCUUAGCCCUGUGAAUACAGAUUUGGCACUUUUAGUAGAUUUUUUUUCCUUUUUCUGUUUACGUCGCAUCUCUUUAUGAAAAGGGGGACGUUCCAGAGAGUUUAUAGGGAAGGAGGCAGCCCAGCCGAAUAUGGGCCAGAGGGCCCACUAGGUGCCGCCCUUUCUCCCAUUCAUUCACCACGAGAAAAAUCCUGAGAGUAGGAGGGUUUUUCGGAAAAGAAAAAUCACGACGUCUCUGCUAAGUUUGGGUGAAGAUUCGUGUCUUCGAUCUUCGAUGAGG
rnacentral:lncRNA from 1 species